rnacentral:rRNA from 1 species
UACGAGGGGGGCGAGCGUUGUUCGGAAUUACUGGGCGUAAAGCGUGCGCAGGCGGUGAUGUAAGACAGGUGUGAAAUCCCCGGGCUUAACCUGGGAACUGCAUUUGUGACUGCAUCGCUGGAGUGCGGCAGAGGGGGAUGGAAUUCCGCGUGUAGCAGUGAAAUGCGUAGAUAUGCGGAGGAACACCGAUGCGAAGGCAAUCCCCUGGGCCUGCACUGACGCUCAUGCACGAAAGCGUGGGGAGCAAACAGG